GCUGGGCAUGGUGGCGCAUGCCUGUAAUCCCAGCUACUCAGGAGGCUGAAGCAGGAGAAUUGCUUGAACCCAGGAGGCGGAGGUUGCAGUGAGCUGAGAUUGCGCCACUGCACUGCAGCCUGGGUGACAUAGCAAGACUGCAUCUC
ensembl:misc_RNA Metazoa_SRP Metazoan signal recognition particle RNA